rnacentral:lncRNA from 1 species
UACUAUUAAUAGAACAUUUGAUAAAGCUAAAACACUUAAUUUUUUUCCGCUCCAUUCAUGUAAUCAACCGAACGUCCCCUUCACAGUUCAUGCCCUAGCUUUUCAACCUUCUCUACCUAUUCGGUUAUGGCUUUGAAAUUUGUUUGAACCAAAAUCAUCCGUACACUAGAAUUUUCUCCGUACAAAUUCUGAUUUCCACUUCCUAUCUUCAAUUCUGCAGACCGGUGAUUCUCGUAUUUCGCAGAUGAAAAUCAACCUUUGAAUUCCGUACAAAUGCAAAUCGGGACACGACGUCGUUUUGAGAUGUAUCACUUUUUAGGAAUUUGAAUUUUCAAAUGCACGGACAACGCAGAUCUCUUGGAAUUGCUCAAUUUUGAGGUAUAUAACCCUAAUCUUUUGAUAACAUUUUAUUUGGUUUUCAAGUUAAAGAGGAUUCAACCGUUGUUAGAUUUGUUAUAUGUCAUCCACAUAUGAGGAUUUAAGAAUUUCAUGAUCAAGGUUCCUAAUUGUUACUUUGACUAUGGAGACAAUUUGUAAUUGUUGUCAUUCACAGUAUUUCUUUUUAAUGGCAAAUUGUUAGCGGUUAAUUGUAUAUUUACACCCUUACCAAGACUUAGAACCGAUAAUUGUUAGUAAAUAUUUACACGACUUGAACCCUUGACCUCCAACUCUUUUAAGCCAAUUGGUUCAAGCCAGUUGAGCUAUCCCUAAGGUGUGUAUGUGUCUAUCAGUGUGUCUAUAUUGGUGCCCGCAACAGUCACGACAUUUGUGAUUAUCUUUAAUUUAUUCGUUCUUUUAAAAUUGUUUAAAAUUGUUACCGGUGUUGUGGAGUCAGAAUCAAUGUGUGUUUCUUGUGUCCGUGCUUCUUAUGUCUUUAGGCAUUGUGCAAGACCUUGUAACAUUGCAGUUUUGAAGAGCAGUUGUAGCAAUGCAAAUAACAGUCAAAUAGCGGCUGAAAGAGCCACUAAGGUGUAGCUUCUGUGAAAACCCAGUUUACCCGCAAUUCAUAGCUGUGCCAAUUGUGUCUAUCAAUGUGUGUUUCUUGUGUGUCUCUCUUCUCACUUGUUUCCCCUGCAAAACUGCUAAACCUAGCUGUUGUGCUAGUAUUCUCCCUCUGCCCAAUGCCUAGAGCUAAAACUUAUUUACUCGUAAUUGAGAUUGAAUAUUAGAAGCAAUUAAGUUUCAUUUUUUAAUUUAUUAGUUGCAAACACAUCUGUAACCUGUGUGUCUCUCUUCUCACUUGUUUCCCCUGCAAAACUGCUAACCUAGCUGUUGUGCUAGUAUUCUCCCUCUGCCCAAUGCCUAGAGCUAAAACUUAUUUACUCGUAAUCGAGAUUGAAUAUUAGAAGCAAUUAAGUUUCAUUUUUUAAUUUAUUAGUUGCAAACACAUCUGUAACCUGAUGUAUUUCAAUUUUUUAGCCUUUAUGUGCAUAGUAUUAACUUGUGUUAUUUGACUGAACUUUUAACAGAGGCAGACCACUACCCAUCACUGUUAUGGGGGUGAACCUCAAUGCGGGGUAGACCGCAAUGCUUGUGUUAUUUCACUGAACUUUUAACAGAGGCAGACCACUAUCCAUCACUGUUAUGGGGGUGAACCUCAAUGCGGGGUAGACCGCAAUGCUACACUUCUUGGGAUUUCUAGAAAUUGUAGUAGUUGCAACUAAUUAAAAGCCAGAAAAUGGUUGUAUAUGCAUUUUAGAAUACCCUUAAAAGUUAACAUCAACAGUAUUUUGCCACAAAGGCAAGUAUCUAUUUAUAGCGUAAGUUAAUGCCAAUCCAUAACAGCUUUAUGACAAUCGAGUUAUUUAAAUUAAAAAUAUGUUUCAUGUGCUAUAUGCUCAGUGCUUCCAAUACUUUUGUGGCAGGUUUUGAAGGUUUUGUUUAGGAACGGAUUCAAGACAGUAUAUGGGGACGUUUGAAGAGAACCAAAUUUGGAGAAAAAUGCAACAAAGGAAUUUUCAUUUCAGAUUUAGUAUUUUACAGUUGCAUUCUGACAAUACAAUUGAUGUGCCAAACAAAUGAGCCUCCUAUAUCUUUAAUUGUUAUUAAAAAAUAGUUUCAGAGGCUACAGUUUGGAAUAAAAUAUAAAUGACACGGGGAAUCUAUAUGAGGACUUCUAGAUGAGCCGCCAGAGGACUUAUAUGAGACACCACUCGAACAAAAGAUCGUCAUCUUCAAGGGUCUCUCGAUUGUGUCCACCAUGAAAGAUCAUCAUCUUCAAGGGUCUCGAUUGUGUCCACUGCCGGUUUCUGUGCUCUCGUCCUCUGUCCAUUAACUGUCAUUAUAAAUAUGGUUGCUCUUCAUCUGUAAUAUAGCAAAGAAUAGUUACACAAUUGCAACUAUAAUAGUCAAUUGUGACUGUGACUAUUUUUCACCAACAAAAAUACUUCAUUCUUAAAUGUGCACUCAGCGUUUGUUUGGUUAGCAAUAAAUUAUAAAUUAAUUAAGAGAAAUCAAUCUUUUUUUUCCCUUCUACACAACAAUCACAACAAUACAAUCAUAAACUAUAAUGAGUCUACUAAUCAGUCUCUGCCACAACAUAGUAAAAUGGUACAUUUUAUUCAAUUACACGGUAAAACUUUUGUUAAAUUAUCCUAAACAGAAAAAAGUUGAGUUUCAAUAUACAAAAAUACAUAUGCAAUAUGAUUUAGACAUCUAAUUAUUACCACU